rnacentral:tRNA from 1 species
AGGCGACACCCGGAUUUGAACUGGGGAAAAAGGAUUUGCAGUCCCCCGCCUUACCACUCGGCCAU